UACGGAGGAUGCAAGCGUUAUCCGGAAUUAUUGGGCGUAAAGCGUCCGCAGGUGGUUUUUCAAGUCUGCUGUCAAAGACUGGAGCUCAACUCCGGAAAGGCAGUGGAAACUGGAGAACUAGAGUUCGGUAGGGGUAGCGGGAAUUCCCAGUGUAGCGGUGAAAUGCGUAGAUAUUGGGAAGAACAUCGGUGGCGAAGGCGCGCUACUGGACCGAAACUGACACUCAGGGACGAAAGCUAGGGGAGCGAAAGGG
rnacentral:rRNA from 1 species